rnacentral:rRNA from 1 species
UGCGCGAUUGAAUGAGCCGAUGCCCGAUUAGCUAGUUGGCGGGGUAAGAGCCCACCAAGGCGACGAUCGGUAGCUGGUCUGAGAGGAUGAUCAGCCACACUGGAACUGAGACACGGUCCAGACUCCUACGGGAGGCAGCAGUGGGGAAUAUUGGACAAUGGGCGCAAGCCUGAUCCAGCCAUACCGCGUGGGUGAAGAAGGCCUUCGGGUUGUAAAGCCCUUUUGUUGGGAAAGAAAAGCAGUCGGUUAAUACCCGAUUGUUCUGACGGUACCCAAAGAAUAAGCACCGGCUAACUUCGUGCCAGCAGCCGCGGUAAUACGAAGGGUGCAAGCGUUACUCGGAAUUACUGGGCGUAAAGCGUGCGUAGGUGGUUGUUUAAGUCUGUCGUGAAAGCCCUGGGCUCAACCUGGGAAUUGCGAUGGAAACUGGGCGACUAGAGUGUGGCAGAGGGUAGUGGAAUUCCUGGUGUAGCAGUGAAAUGCGUAGAGAUCAGGAGGAACAUCCGUGGCGAAGGCGACUGCCUGGGCCAACACUGACACU